AUUGAACGCUGGCGGCAUGCCUUACACAUGCAAGUCGAACGGUAACGGGCCUUCGGGUGCCGACGAGUGGCGAACGGGUGAGUAAUGCAUCGGAACGUACCUUUCAGUGGGGGAUAACGUAGCGAAAGUUACGCUAAUACCGCAUAUUCUGUGAGCAGGAAAGCAGGGAUCGCAAGACCUUGCGCUGAUUGAGCGGCCGAUGUCAGAUUAGCUAGUUGGUGAGGUAAAGGCUCACCAAGGCGACGAUCUGUAGCGGGUCUGAGAGGAUGAUCCGCCACACUGGAACUGAGACACGGUCCAGACUCCUACGGGAGGCAGCAGUGGGGAAUUUUGGACAAUGGGGGGCAACCCUGAUCCAGCCAUGCCGCGUGAGUGAAGAAGGCCUUCGGGUUGUAAAGCUCUUUCGGCCGGGAAGAAAUCGCAUGGGUUAAUACCCUGUGCGGAUGACGGUACCGGCAUAAGAAGCACCGGCUAACUACGUG
rnacentral:rRNA from 1 species